ACGGAGGGUGCGAGCGUUUAUCGGAAUUACUGGGCGUAAAGCGCGCGUAGGCGGCUUGUUAAGUCGGAUGUGAAAUCCCCGGGCUCAACCUGGGAAUUGCAUCCGAUACUGGCGAGCUGGAGUGCGAUAGAGGGGGGUAGAAUUCCUAGCGUAGCGGUGAAAUGCGUAGAUAUUAGGAGGAAUACCGGUGGCGAAGGCGGCCCCCUGGGUUAACACUGACGCUCAGGCACGAAAGCGUGGGGAGCAAACAGGA
rnacentral:rRNA from 1 species